rnacentral:piRNA from 1 species
AUGUGAAUGUUGGCCUUGA